CUAUAGUUUUAUAAGCCCUGAAGCUAUAGAUGUCUAUCUGGCUAUAUGCUGGGAAACCCACUAACUUUCUAUUUAAGUUAAGAAUAUGGUGAAGUGGACAAUCAGCAGGUAACCCUCCUUAGCAAAGUAGGGAGGCUACCUCAGAGACUAAACGCCAGAGCCUGCAGUAUGAAUUGCAUUCCCUCUGGGCUAAAUUGGAAGGGAGUCUGGGACACUAUCUUGCCGGGUUAAUAGAAGGAGACGGAGCUAUUAUUGUUUCUUCUAAAAUAACCUUGUUCUUUUUGAUAAAAUCCCGGUAAGGUGAGUCAAAGCAUGCUGUUCAAUCUGCAGGUAAGAUAUAGUCCGAUCCAAAUAGUGAUGUUUGG
rfam:Rhizophagus irregularis DAOM 181602 strain DAOM 197198 GLOINscaffold_4832_Cont4827 mitochondrial, whole genome shotgun sequence.